rnacentral:rRNA from 1 species
UACGUAGGGAGCAAGCGUUGUCCGGAAUCAUUGGGCGUAAAGCGCGCGUAGGUGGCUUCAUAAGUCCGUUGUGAAAGUCAAAGGCUCAACCUUUGAAAGCCGAUGGAUACUGUGAAGCUAGAGUACGGAAGAGGCGAGUGGAAUUCCUGGUGUAGCGGUGGAAUGCGCAGAUAUCAGGAGGAACACCGGUGGCGAAGGCGGCGACCUGGGUAGAUACUGACGCUGAGGUGCGAAAGCGUGGGGAGCAAACAGG